rnacentral:rRNA from 1 species
CCUACGGGCGGCAGCAGUGAGGAAUAUUGGUCAAUGGACGAGAGUCUGAACCAGCCAAGUAGCGUGAAGGAUGACGGCCCUAUGGGUGGUAAACUUCUUUUAUAAAGGAAUAAAACGAGGCACGUGUGCCUUUUUGCAUGUACUUUAUGAAUAAGGAUCGGCUAACUCCGUGCCAGCAGCCGCGGUAAUACGGAGGAACCGAGCGUUGUCCGGAUUUAUUGGGUUUAAAGGGAGCGUAGAUGGGUUGUUAAGUCAGUUGUGAAAGUUUGCGGCUCAACCGUAAAAUUGCAAUUGAUACUGGCAGUCUUGAGUACAGUUGAGGUAGGCGGAAUUCGUGGUGUAGCGGUGAAAUGCUUAGAUAUCACGAAGAACCCCGAUUGCGAAGGCAGCUUACUAGACUGUGACUGACAUUGAUGCUCGAAAGUGUGGGUAUCAAACAGGAUUAGAUACCCCUGUAGUC